CUGUAAAAAUUUGGGCACUAUCAGUUUUUAGACUUGGAAGAUUGGUUUCUUCGGCAAGGUCUUAGAGUUUUGGGAAUCGAAUAGGUGAGUGUGCGCAAAAAGUGGAAAAAUUUGGGCACUAUCAGAUUUUAGACUUAUCUCGGGAGUUGUGGCAGAUGGAAGAUUGGUUUCUUCGGCAAAGUCUUAGAGUUUUGGGAGUAGAAUAGGCCGGAAAAGUAAAAAAGUCGGGAAGUUAGAAUCGGGUGUUUCAAUUAGGUUUUUGGAAUUAUCUCUGGAACUAUGGGAGAUGGAAUAUUGGUUUCUUCGGCAAAGUCUUAGAGUUUUGAGAGUAGAAGACGGCGGCAUUAAUGAAAAAGUCGGGAAUUGGGAAUUAGCUGUUUCAAUUAUGUGUUUGACGGAAUUAUGUGUUUGGCGGGAUUAGGUGUUUCACGGGAUUAGGUGUUUCAUGGUAUUAUGUGUUUGACGGGAUUAGGUGUUUCACGGGAUUAGGUGUUUCAUGGUAUUAUGUGUUUGACAGGAUUAAGUGUUUGACGGGAUCAUGUGUUUGACUGGAUUAGGUGUUUCAAUUAUUUACAUGUUUGACGAGAUUAGAUGUUUCACGGGAUACGGGAUUAGGUGUUUGACGCGAUUGGGUGUUUAACGGGAUUAGGAGUUUCACGGGAUUAGGUGUUUGACGGCAUUAGGUGUUUGACGGGAUUAGGUGUUUGACGGGAUUAGGUGUUUGACGGGAUUAGGUGUUUGACGGGAUUAGGUGUUUGACGGGAUUAGGUGUUUGACGGGAUUAGGCGUUUGACGGGAUUAGGUGUUUGACGGGAUUAGGUGUUUGACGGGAUUAGGUGUUUUUCGGGGUAGCUUGCUAGGCGGCGAUGUGGCGCGUAGCGCCACGGGAGUCGACUAGUCGGAAUAUAUCUCCGCGUAUAACGGAAUAUCACGUUCAGGCGGAGCUCAGAUUUUUCAUUCAGUUCCAAAAACUGAACGAUUUGAUCACAUUGAUGAGUUUUGACAUGUUCUCAUUCAAUAGGUUUGUAAACAAAAUUCCAAAACUGGCCGAACGCACACGAUUUCAUACAAAUAUUGAUCAGGUUGUGGAUGAAAUUUUUUAGAAAUUUGACAAUUCGUUAUCAGAGAGAUAUGAACGAAAACAACGAAACAGCCAGAUGAAACCAACGCAUAAAAGUAUGUAGCCUUAAUUUUGAAUCUUACUGUAAAGAAUUCAGGAAAAAUUUGGAAAUUGAAGGGAACCAAAAAAUAAUCCACUCGCAAUUAGAGGUUUAGUUAGAGACAGUGAAAUUUCAGACUGAAUUUGCUUCAAAUGCUUUUCAGCUGGUCCACACAAACUGUUUACACGUCUUUAUACGGUUUUACCACUACCACGCGCGUGGGUGAAGAAGCUUCAACCGUAAAAACAAGUACAGACAGUUUUGCUUUUGUGUGUGGAUCAUAUGAUAAACAGCUGAGUCAAAUUCAUGCUGAAGUUUCACUGCCUCUGACUGUAUUGCGAAAGUGAAAAUUUACAAGCGUUACUUUUCGCUGCGAAAGUAGUUUCCAGUGUGUAUACUUACGAUGUGAAUUAGGUAAAUACUAACCAAGUACUUGUCACAUCUAUAUACUUAAAGGCAUUUCAAAUUUUUUUUUUAAAUAUAUUUUUAUCUUUUUAAAGUCAAAACUGUGUUCAAAAAUAGAAAAAUUCAAAAUCUAAAAUUGUAAGGAAAUUUUUGUAAGAGAUAUUUAAUCCGACUCCAGUAAGAGAAACUAAUUUUUAUUUUAGAAAAACUUUCAAAAAUCAACACACCAAUUUCUUAAGAAGUAGAAAUUUAUGUAAAAAUCUUCAAAUUGAAGACUUCAAUCCAAUUAAAAUUUCUAGCAUCUUUGUCUGUUUGUUCAGUUUUGUGUUUUUCGCAUUCACGCUUAUCAUCGAACACAGAUAGGGUUCGUGUACACCUUUAGUCAAAUGUAAUUAUAAUUUUCAGUGCUGUGUAUCGGGAAUCAAUUAUCUCUUUCCACCCUGUACUAUCACCCUUUCACCUUUUUUUGGAAAUAUGUUGGGAGUUGGGUUCUGACUUUCAAAUAAGGAAUGUAUUUUGUUUCAGCUGUUUUUCAGCUGAUCCACUCAUACAAACAAAUGUGCUAAUACUGGAACAAUGUACAGUACACGCAUGCACGCGGCAAUGGUAAAACCGUUUUAAGCCGUAACAUCAUAUUUUAGUUUGUAUGAGUGGAACAGCUGAAAGAAAUACGUCACCUAUUUCGAAGUCACCUGUAAGAUUAAAAAAUUAUUUAGAUGGAUUUCGAUUUUACCUUCUGAAUUAUAGGUGAAACUUUCAAUGCCAUUAAUCAGUCACAGAUUUUUAUAGCAUUGAUUACACAAAAUCGUUUUAUCGAUUGAAUUAGUCAUUUGAAAAAUAUGAAUGUUGAGCCACUGAAAGAAGAUCAGAGAUUUCCUUUCGAGAUUGAAUGCUGUGGCCGAAGGUGAACAACAACAACACAAUUUAGGAAUGGGAAAUGCAAUUCACUGUGUAUACAAUGCAGUCAGGAAAAUUUAAAUUUCGAAGUGUUUAAUUUCCGUAUUUAAUUCGAAUACAACGAUAUUUCAGUUCAAGUAAUCAUUAAACCAAAACAGUUCGUUAUUUAUCGGAAUAGCCUUUUCCACACGUAUUGUCCAUCCGUUUCAUAUGGUCAUCAAACUCAAUCGACCCAAUAUUUCCGAUACACACUGAAAGUUUCACCUUUUUUUUGCACAAAUAGGUAUUUUCCUAACAGGUUCUAUUAUGGAAAUCUUGCACAAAGAUGUGGAAAUUGUUAACCGGAGGCGAGGUCAACGUUGACACAAAAUUUCAGUGAACAUACAAUUUAGGACUAAAGUUUUUAUGUACAGCAGUGAGAUCCUCAUAUUUCAGAAAUGUCACUUUUACGCACUAGUGUGUAAAUAAGCAAAGACGCACUACUUCUACUUCGCACUGUUGUACAUAAACAAUUUUUCGCAUUCAUGUGUAAAUUUUAACACAAAGAAAAUCUUUAAUGUGCUGUCUCAUCCUAAAUUAAAACAUUUAAAGUCGCAUUUAUAUAAAAAAAGUAAAAAUUGCUUUCUGUGUUUUAGUUAAAAAAUAAAAUUUAAAGAGAAAAAGAAAUGUAUUCAAGCCUGAAAAGAAAAUAUAAAUAGAAAAUCCAACAUCUACAAAUUUUGAGAACCAAUUUAAAAAUCAUAGAAAAAAAUAUUUGUAGAUCAAGAGGUUCGUUCCAUGUGUUCAUUGUGAGGACAUUGAAUCAGCCUCGUCUUCUAGAUUUUUUUACUGUACAUUUGUUUAAAAUGUUUAAAUGAAGUAAGAUUAAGACGUAACAAAAAAGAUAAAAAAAAGAAUUAAAAUCAACAAAAGGAUCCGCCUUGUGUUUCUGAAUUCUCAAAGCGAAGAUAUUCGAGCAAGUGGAACCGAAAUAUUAUAAAAUUUAAACAAACUAAAAACAAGAACUCUAAAAUGUUAAAUUUAAAUGGAUGAAAUUCAAUGAUUGAUUGAGUGAAUAAAUUUAUAUUGUCUGUAAUAA